rnacentral:rRNA from 1 species
CCCUGCCAUUUGUACACACCGCCCGUCGCUACUACCGAUUGAAUGGCUUAGUGAGGCUUUCGGACUGGCUCAGGGAGGUCGGCAACGACCACCCAGAGCCGGAAAGUUAGUCAAACUUGGUCAUUUAGAGGAAGUAAAAGUCGUAACAAGGUU